AUUGUGUCUCCUACAUUAGACCAAAAUGCGCUAUGCGUUGCAGAUCCUCUUGAACGACUCCAACCAACAACGUGGUCAAAUACGAGACUCUCAUUCAUGGUUUGCGUUUGGCCAUCUCCAUGGGCAUUCACAAGAGGUGCGUGGCGAUUCCAACCUCAUUGUCUCCUAGAUCACAAAGAACUUUGAAGCAAUAGAUCCACGGAUGAUUAUGGAUCACUUUGACAUGGUCAGCUGGCUUAUGGAUCAAAAUAGUUUUUGAUUCCUAUGGCUUUUCCUAUUCCAUGUGCUAAGGUUGUUGAAGUGUAUAUGUUGAUUGCCUAGUUCUUUCCAUCAGUUUGGAAUUUUGGCUAGUGCAUGACGCUUAACAUGGUAUUAGAGCAACUCUAGCAGACCCCGCAUCCCGCCCCGGCCCGUAAAAUAACCGCCAAAAUGCGGGUCGGGGCGGAAAAACCAGCCCGAUCAGACCCCUCAUCCCGCCCCGACCCACAAAAAAUUUUAGGGGGCGCGGCAAAAUCCCGACCCCAACCCGGGAAAACGCGGGUUUCCCCCUCGCGGCUGCGGUGCCCUGCAUAUAAGCGGAAGCGGUUGGUGGGGGGACAUUUCAUCCCGCGCUUUCUCCCACCAACCACCUCUCCUCUCCCCCCUCGCGCCGCCGCCGGCCGCCGCCCAAGAUUCCGGCGACAGCAGCCGGCAGGAGCACGCCGGAAGGCCGCCAC
rnacentral:lncRNA from 1 species